rnacentral:rRNA from 1 species
CAAUAGCGUAUAUUUAAGUUGCUGCAGUUAAAAAGCUCGUAGUUGGAUUUCGGGUGGGAAUGGCCGGUCCGCCGUUUCGGUGUGCACUUGCUACGCCCACCUUGCUGCCGGGGACGUGCUCUUGAGUUCACGCUCGGGACACGGAGUCGGCGAGGUUACUCUGAGUAAAUUAGAGUGUUCAAAGCAGGCCUACGCUCUGAAUACAUUAGCAUGGAAUAACACGAUAGGACUCUGGCCUAUCUUGUUGGUCUGUAGGACCGGAGUAAUGAUUAAGAGGGACAGUCGGGGGCAUUCGUAUUUCAUUGUCAGAGGUGAAAUUCUUGGAUUUAUGAAAGACGAACUACUGCGAAAGCAUUUGCCAAGGAUGUUUUCAUUAA